rnacentral:tRNA from 1 species
GGACCUAUGGUGAAAUGGAUAUCACAGGGGUCUUCUAAACCUCUAUUCUAGGUUCGAGUCCUAGUAGGUCCG